GAUGAACGCUGGCGGCGUGCCUAAUACAUGCAAGUCGAGCGAACAGGCGAGGAGCUUGCUCCUCUGACGUUAGCGGCGGACGGGUGGGUAACACGUGGAUAACCUACCUAUAAGACUGGGAUAACUUCGGGAAACCGGAGCUAAUACCGGAUAAUAUAUUGAACCGCAUGGUUCAAUAGUGAAAGACGGUUUUGCUGUCACUUAUAGAUGGAUCCGCGCCGCAUUAGCUAGUUGGUAAGGUAACGGCUUACCAAGGCAACGAUGCGUAGCCGACCUGAGAGGGUGAUCGGCCACACUGGAACUGAGACACGGUCCAGACUCCUACGGGAGGCAGCAGUAGGGAAUCUUCCGCAAUGGGCGAAAGCUUGACGGAGCAACGCCGCGUGAGUGAUGAAGGUCUUCGGAUCGUAAAACUCUGUUAUUAGGGAAGAACAAAUGUGUAAGUAACUAUGCACGUCUUGACGGUACCUAAUCAGAAAGCCACGGCUAACUACGUG
rnacentral:rRNA from 1 species